rnacentral:tRNA from 1 species
GGGAGUAUAGCUCAGUGGUAGAGUGCCUGCUUGGCAUGCAUGAAAACUCAGGUUCAAGUCCCAGCACCACCA